rnacentral:ncRNA from 1 species
AGAAGUUGCUGGGGGAGCUAUGUGCUGAGAAAAAGCAUUUUGCUUUGACCCCUGAACCUGACCUAGGUAAUUCUAGCGGAGGGAAGUAACUGUUAACAGUU